ensembl:lncRNA
CUUUUAUGCAUAUAGAAUAAAGCAUGAAUUACUCCCUUGGGGAGGAGAUUGUUACAAAUGAAGAUUCCUAGGCCAGACUGGCUACAGCUGGGCCUCAGAGCAAACGUGUGGAAUGAUGGAUAUAAGGCUGAAUUUCUUAACUGUCGAAAAAGUAAGAAAGAACUUGAAAUUAGUAUGAGAAAUAAAACAGAUGACGGAAACUUUUUCGUGAAACAGUGCAACUACAAUAUGCGAAAAAGUAGACAGGUAAAGCACACACACUUGGGAAGUGGAAACAUCUCGAAGUACCGUAGAUGUGAGAAAUAGAAAGAUGACACUGCAGAGCCAUAGUCAGCUGAGCAUGGACGUUGAGAUACUUGUCCGGUAAUUAUCAGGCCUUGAAGUAUAUGAAGUCCAUUUUUGCACCCCCACCCUCUUCUCUCCCUCUCAGUUUUCCACCCUGCAUUUUCACAGUCUGGGCGGCCCAGGAAAUGCCCUGUUGUCUCGGCUUUCCCUUGGCUCCACAAUUCACAUUUGCCUGCUAUCCCCACUUGAUCAGAUACACCAGCCGCUGGGAGAGGCUCAGGGGGUUUCUCUUCCGGGCAACUUCUUUUUCACAGUGAGUGCCCUGACAUCCAGAUGUCUCAACCGAAAGGACUGAGUUCAUAGUGAGAACCUCAGGUAUUCCACAGAGCCCAGAGGAGGAGGUAGCCAGGGGCAGGUGGAUGGUCUGUUCAGAUGUGCUCGUAGCAGCAGCCGAAGUGAGGAGAGUGUAAUUCACAAGAACGUCACUUCCCGUUUUUGGAGCUCAUCAGUGGGCAGGCACUGUGCAUUUUACUCAUUGUCUGAUUUAAUACACAGAACGAGCCUUUCGGCUAAGUUUUACGGAUAAACUGAGGAGGACAGUAUGUAAAUUAACGGGCACAGCUAUGUUCCAAUAAAACUUUGCAAAACUGGCAAAGAGCUGGACAUUGUGGCCCCUCUAGGUCCACCCACAGAGGCUCUGGCUUAUCCAGCAGCUGCCUUGAAGGGCUGGACAGCUAAGCCCUAAAUGCAGGGAGGUUAACACCUAGUGGGACAGGCAAAAAGGCCAAUGAGAGAGCAGAAGCAGGAAGGUGCUGGCAGAUAAAUUGCUCAUAUUUCCCUCCUCCCCCAAUGGAUGUUUCCGACAAGUGGUUUCAUACAGCCCUGAGCAACCAGCUGUGUUUCUUGGAAAUCUGUGGCCAGUUCAUAAAGGCACCGGAAGAGGUGAGGAAACUUGUCCAAGGUCACGGAGGUGGUAGAGCUGAGAAUCAAACCCAGGCAGGUCAGGUCCUAAGCACUUCCUCCAGAGGGAAACCCGAGAUUCACUUCCCUGUCACCAUGAAUGUCUGCAAACUAGUCAGACCAAGAAACGCAACUUCUCACCCUACCAUCUUGAAGCAACAGGAGUCCACUUUUGAGAAGAUGGAGCACACUAUACUAAUUAAAUGAAACGAGAUGACUCAUUUCUGGGAGGGCUAUAUGCUCUGAAGUCCUCAUCCACACCAGACUGUUAAGUCUCACAUAUCGACCAAAAAGGACUAAAUACGCUCAUUAACCACAGACUUUGGCUAAUUCUGAAAUGACUGCUUCGCUGGUACUCAAGUGGCCGUGAGCAGGGAAUAGGAAAUCCACAUUAACCUCAAGAGCUUGGCUCGCGGUUAGAACUACAGCAGUUGGCAGAUCAUACAACCUUACGUCAACCCUGUCGCGCACGCUGCAGAAACAUUUGUCUGAGACACCUGCUGGAGCACACAUUUCAGUAUCAGAAAGACUGAAAGGCACUCACAGAGAAAAUGUGUCCAUCACAGGGGUCAGAAAAUUUGGUAAGGAACCAGACAGUAAAGAUCUUAGCCUUGGCAAGCCACACGGUCUCUGUCACAUUUACCCAACUCUGCCAUAGGAGCCCCAGGGGAUAGCCUGCUGGGUUAUGAACUUGGUGGCUAACCGUUGAAUCACAGUGAUUUCCCACAGAACACCUUCUCGCUGUAGCGAGAAACCUGGCAUCAUUUCCUUAUCCAUGUGAUCAAGAUGACUGUCACCUAUGACAAGCCAUGUGGACGUCAAGUACCUCCUGAUGUGGUGCGCCGAGGUCACAUUGCUUCUGUGUGUUCCUCCCCCAAAUCCAUAACCCAGUCUAGUCACGAGAAAAACGCAGACAAGCCC